rnacentral:lncRNA from 1 species
AUGGGGGUGUUGGUCCAUGGUGGUGUUAGUCCAUGGUUUUUGUCCAUGGUGGUGUUGGUCCACGGUGGUGUUGGUCCAUGUUGUUGGUCCAUGGUGUUGUUGGUCCAUGGUGUUGUUGGUCCAUGGUGUUGUUGGUCCAUGGUGGUGUUGGUCCAUGGUGGUGUUGGUCCAUUGUGGUGUUGGUCCAUGGUGGUGUUGGUCCAUGUUGGUGUUGGUCUAUGGUGGUGUUGGUCCAUGGUGGUGUUGGUCCAUGGUGGUGUUGGUCCAUGGUGUUGGUCCAUGGUGUUGGUCUAUGGUGGUGUUGGUCUAUGCUGGUGUUGGUCUAUGGUGGUGUUGGUCCAUGGUGUUGGUCCAUGGUGGUGUUGGUCUAUGCUGGUGUUGGUCCAUGGUGUUGGUCUAUGGUGGUGUUGGUCUAUGGUGGUGUUGGUCUAUGGUGGUGUUGGUCCAUGGUGGUGUUGGUCCAUGGUGGUGUUGGUCCAUGGUGUUGGUCUAUGGUGGUGUUGGUCCAUGGUGGUGUUGGUCUAUGCUGGUGUUGGUCCAUGGUGGUGUUGGUCUAUGCUGGUGUUGGUCUAUGGUGGUGUUGGUCUAUGGUGUUGGUCUAUGCUGGUGUUGGUCUAUGGUGGUGUUGGUUCAUGGUGUUGGUCCAUGGUGAUGUUGGUUCAUGGUGUUGGUCUAUGGUGGUGUUGGUCCAUGGUGUUGGUCCAUGGUGUUGGUCCAUGGUGGUGUUGGUCCAUGGUGUUGGUCCAUGGUGUUGGUCCAUGGUGUUGGUCCAUGGUGUUGGUCUAUGGUGGUGUUGGUCUAUGGUGUUGGUCCAUGGUGGUGUUGGUCUAUGGUGGUGUUGGUCCAUGGUGUUGGUCCAUGGUGUUGGUCCAUGGUGUUGGUCCAUGGUGGUGUUGGUCUAUGGUGUUGGUCCAUGGUGUUGGUCCAUGGUGGUGUUGGUCUAUGGUGGUGUUGGUCCAUGGUGUUGGUCCAUGGUGUUGGUCCAUGGUGUUGGUCCAUGGUGGUGUUGGUCUAUGGUGUUGGUCCAUGGUGUUGGUCCAUGGUGGUGUUGGUCCAUGGUGUUGGUCCAUGGUGUUGGUCCAUGGUGUUGGUCCAUGGUGUUGGUCUAUGGUGGUGUUGGUCUAUGGUGUUGGUCUAUGGUGGUGUUGGUCUAUGGUGUUGGUCCAUGGUGGUGUUGGUCCAUGGUGUUGGUCUAUGGUGGUGUUGGUCUAUGGUGGUGUUGGUCGAUGGUGUUGGUCUAUGGUGUUGGUCCAUGGUGGUGUUGGUCCAUGGUGGUGUUGGUCCAUGGUGUUGGUCCAUGGUGGUGUUGGUCCAUGGUGGUGUUGGUCUAUGGUGUUGGUCCAUGGUGUUGGUCCAUGGUGGUGUUGGUCCAUGGUGUUGGUCCAUGGUGUUGGUCUAUGGUGUUGGUCCAUGGUGGUGUUGGUCUAUGGUGUUGGUCCAUGGUGGUGUUGGUCUAUGGUGUUGGUCCAUGGUGGUGUUGGUCUAUGGUGUUGGUCCAUGGUGGUGUUGGUCUAUGGCUCCUCCGUUGUGGAACAGCUUGCCCUGUCAAAAGGGGGCAGACACCAUGAAGGAUUUAAAUCACUUUUAAAAGCCUACCUUUUAAACCGGGCUUUAAAAAUGUGA